GGCUUUGCACAGUGGCAGUGUUGUAGCCAAUGAAGUUUAUCCAAGGUGCGAGUAUUGCUAAUUGAAAAGAACAGGUGAGCCAGGUAACGAAUAAGACUCCAGGGUUAGGGGACUAAGGAUAUUUAUGAGUUAGCCAGCCUGUAGUGAAUAUCUUAGUAU
rfam:Fukomys damarensis contig131355, whole genome shotgun sequence.